GAGAAAUUAGUUUAGGAAGAAUAGUAAGUUGCAAACUUUCAGGGAUUAAUUUAUUUCUUU
rnacentral:tRNA from 1 species